GGAAAUUAAAACAUCGACCCACAAAAAUGUCUAUUGGCCCAUAAAUGUCUAGUCAGGAUCACCUGGCUAUACCCCAAAUAAUUAUGAACAUAGAGUAGAAAAUAAAAAUUAUAUUUAUGAUAUUAAUUAAUUAGCUAUUAAGCAGUAAAGUGGAUUAAAAGUUGUUCAUUAACAAGGUAAAAUAAAAACUUCCAGACAUUAAUUAACUAGCAAUUAUCACCAUGCUCCCUCCUAGGCUCUCGGCGUUGCUUAAACAUUCUUCCAGAGUCCUGAUUAGGCUGAGAAGAAAGCUAUCUACAAAAUCAGAAUAUUUGCAUAAUAUGUAGACAUGUAUUAGUUAGCUCUAGAAAUUCAACAUGUUGGCAUAAGGGGUCAGACUUUGGGUUAAAUUUUGAAGCCAGGGACUGUUCAACCAUGAGUUACUGUCUAGAUUCCAGUCCAUGCUCAAUUUGGGAACUUCCAGCUCUGGUAUCUUGUUAUUUCCCAACGGUAAUUGUAGUGAAGGCCCUUUAAUCCCCUUUGGCUUUUCAUCUCCAGUAUUAUUCUUAUCAUCACUUUUACCAUCUUUUGCCAUUACCAAAUCUUCUACCUCUUUCUUGAAAACCACAUGGUGCAUACAUAUUGGAGCCACUGAUUCUUCUUGUUGGCUGCAAAAGGACAUGUUGUCCAAUGAGGAAAUUGGGGAUGAUGAUGGAGAUGCAUGAAUUAUCUUCAUUUCUUCCUCCAUUGCAGCCCUUUGUUCCAGCACUUUCAAGGAAGUUGCCUUCCUAUAUAUCUUACACAAGACUAUAUCCUUAGGUGAGCGGCAAGAAUCAGGCAGGCGAUAUUCAUUCAUGACCCAAUCAGUCUUGCUGCCCCUUGGUGCUCUUCCCUUAUAGAAAACAAGAGUCUUUCUCAAUCCAAUAAUCCUCUUGGGGUCUGAUAAGCUCACAAUUUUCCUGUCAGAACCAGUGGCUUUCCAGAAUCCAUUCACUGUAGUUCUAUUUGGCCUCCCUCCACUACCAUGCCUUCUGUCUCUUGGCACGAAAAAGUACCACUCCCUCUCUCCAUUCUUAGCCAUUCCAGGCAAUUCCCAAGGUUCAUGAUGAUAGAUGUUAAGGUAUCCAAUAAUAUCGAAACGCAAUUUUUUGCCAAAAACCAUGUUUUUGAGGUAGAAAUCCAGGAGCUCCUCUUCUGUGGGAUGGAAUCGGAAUCCAGGAAGAUCAAGUUCCUCCAUAUAUGCUAGUUUAGAGUAGACUAGUGUGUGUGUGUGUGUGUGAAAGCAAAUACUAUAAUAUGGUUGCUGCUAUUUUGUUUAUUGAGAUUGUCAAGAAAAUGAAAAUGGUU
rnacentral:misc_RNA from 1 species